GGAAGUAAACGUCGUAACAAGGUUUCCGUAGGUGAACCUGCGGAAGGAUCAUUAAAGAGAAUAUGCCCUUCGGGGUAGAUCUCCCACCCUUUGUUUAUAUUACCUUUGUUGCUUUGGCAGGCCCGUCUUCGGACCACCGGCUUCGGCUGGUCAGUGCUUGCCAGAGGACCCAAAACUCUUAUUAUUAAUGUCGUCUGAGUACUAUAUAAUAGUUAAAACUUUCAACAACGGAUCUCUUGGUUCUG
rnacentral:misc_RNA from 1 species